rnacentral:rRNA from 1 species
GACGAACGCUGGCGGCGUGCUUAACACAUGCAAGUCGAACGGAAAGGCCCUGCUUUUGUGGGGUGCUCGAGUGGCGAACGGGUGAGUAACACGUGAGUAACCUGCCCUUGACUUUGGGAUAACUUCAGGAAACUGGGGCUAAUACCGGAUAGGAGCUCCUGCUGCAUGGUGGGGGUUGGAAAGUUUCGGCGGUUGGGGAUGGACUCGCGGCUUAUCAGCUUGUUGGUGGGGUAGUGGCUUACCAAGGCUUUGACGGGUAGCCGGCCUGAGAGGGUGACCGGCAAACUUGGGACUGAGAUACGGCCGAGACUCCUAAGGGAGGCAGGAGUGGGGAAUAUUGCACAAUGGGGGGAAGCAGGAUGCAGCAACGCCGCGUGAGGGAUGACGGCCUUCGGGUUGUCAACCGCUUUCGCCUGUGACGAAGCGUGAGUGAAGGUAAUGGGUAAAGAAGCACCGGCUAACUCCGUG